CUUUGUUUGCAUUGCCGGGAUGCGGACCGGCUCUGCUUGUUCUAGAGCCAGCACCUUCUACUCGAAUCAAAACUCCAAUAUUGCCUCUAAUCUAGACCGUUCGUUGAAUGAUACUCGCUAUGCGAUUAGGGGAGUAGUGGGCCCCAGGAAGAUUCCUCGAAUAGAAGAGCGGGUAGAGUUGUAUGUGGCGUCUCAACUGAAAACCUAACCCAAGAAAAUUACGGAAUAUAUAUAACAGUCGAAGAGGGCCGCUAUCGUUCGGUUGUGUCUCUCGACGGGCUCUGUCGUCUUCUCCUUCGAUUUGCUCUACCGCUAAUUUCUCCGCCCUUCUCUUCGGCGGUUCAAUCCCUGAUCCAGCCGAUUCUAGUCCACAGGAUCCUGCUGCCACUUCUCCAGUGUGCAAUGUCACCAUUAGCUACAAACAUCGCUGUCCAACCCUAUCCGAUAACCUCUUGGGCGUGGAUCCUUGCCAGAUUCCAACAUCUGAAAAUGAGGCAGCUAAUUGGUUGGUUGAGAGAUUCAAGCUGAAGGAUCAACUCUUAUCUGAUUUUACCACUCAUGGACAUUUCCCCAAUCAAGGAACUGAAGGAGAUCUUUCGAUAUCGGUGUGCCUCGUGAAAUUCUUCAUGGUAAUACUCAACUACCAUCUUUGUCUACUUGAAUGUCCUACCAUCACCAAUACUACUUGACUCUGCAAAGGGUUUGUUCCAUAGCAAAAGCAAGAUUUUGUAAAUGUAUUACCUUACUCUUUUUGUUUAUCAUUUUGUGACCUAUGUUUCCACAUUUGCCAUUAGUCAUUUCAUGUCUAAUAUUUUCGUAUGUUUCAACAUUUGUCAUUAGUCGUAUGGUGUCUAAUAUUUUCAACUCUAGAGAUUCAUAACAAUAUGUUUCUGAUCAAUCUUCUGCUGCUGUAGAGGGAGGAUUAUUGAAAAAAUAAAACUGAUGAACACUAGCUAUAUUC